UACAGAGGGUGCGAGCGUUAAUCGGAGUGACUGGGCGUAAAGGGCACGUAGGCGGCUUAUUUAGUCUGAUGUGAAAUAACUAGGCUUAACCUGGUAUGUGCAUUGGAAACGGAUAGGCUAGAGUAUUGGAGAGGGAAGUGGAAUUUCCGGUGUAGCGGUGAAAUGCGUAGAGAUCGGAAAGAACACUCGUGGCGAAGGCGACUUCCUGGCCAAAGACUGACGCUGAGGUGCGAAAGCGUGGGUAGCAAACAGG
rnacentral:rRNA from 1 species